GGCCCGUUUUAGGGUUGCUGGUUACAUGCUUCAAUAUAACGCAAUUCUGAUAGUGUUAUUAACAAUGCUUGUGGUAUUGUUCAGAUGUAGAACAGGAAAUUUUAUAGAGACAGUUAAUUCUGCAUUCCAUCAAUUGCCCACAUACGGUCCUGCUAAUAAAGUCGAUUUCGACGAAUGGAAAGCUUUCCACUUGGCAGCAAAAGCUGAACGACAUAAACAAGGAAAGAACUGGAUACAUCACAUAAUGCUUAGUCUAUUUGGUGGUUACCAUAGACCAAGAAAAGAACCAGAUACAUCACAACCUGCUUAGUCUAUUUGGUGGUUACCAUAGAACAAGGUAUUAUUAACGUAAUAUCUAUUAUUGUUAGUAUGUAAGGGCUAAUAAAGCUACUUUUAGACUCUGAAAUUAUGAUUCACGACGUUAGUAUAGAGGAGAGCGGGCCUGAACGUUCCGAUAUUCAAAUAACUUAAAGUUUUAUACUGAAAAUGAAGGGUUUUAAUUUCAACAUGGAAAUAUUGAACAAAUGUCUGUCGCUUUUUGUAAUAGUAUACUCACUUCUACUAAGAUCUCAAUAGUCUUUUGCAUACAUGCAAAUUUUUUACAAAUUUCGGAUCGGAACAUUCAAUCCCGCUUUGGGGCGCGUUGUUCCGCCUUUGAGGUAAAUUGUUUCGCCUAGAUUAUGACAGGAUAACAAAAAUUUUCUUAAAUAAAGCAACCUUUUUUUAUAAUUGUAUGUAUAUAAUAUUUAUAAUACGCACAACGAACUUCAAAAAAAACACUACAUUCUUAUUUAUCAUUAAUAUUAUUCA